GAUGAACGCUGGCGGCGUGCCUAACACAUGCAAGUCGAGCGAACGGACCAGAAGCUUUCGCCUCUGAUGUUAGCGGCGGACGGGAGAGUCACACGUGGAUAACCUACCUCUCAGACUGGGAUAACUUCGGGAAACCGGAGCUAAUACCGGAUAAUAUUUUGACCCGCAUUGUUCAAGAGUGAAAUACGGUCUUUCUGACACUAAUAGACUAAUCCGCGCUGCAUUGGCUAGUGGGUAGGGUAACGGCUUACCAAGGCUACGAAGGAUAGCCGCCCUGCGAGGGGGAGCGGCCACGCUGGACCUGAGAGACGGUCCAGACUCCUGGGGGAGGCAGCAGUAGGGAAUCUCCCGCAAUGGGCGAAAGCGUGACGGAGCAACGACGCGUGAGUGAUGAAGGCCGUCGGAUCGUGAAACUCUGUUAUUAGGGAGGAACGUAUGUGUAAGUUACCGUGCACGACUUGAAGGGAACCGAUAAGAAAGGCACGGGCAAAUACGGU
rnacentral:rRNA from 1 species